UGGGGAAUUUUCCGCAAUGGGCGAACGCCUGACGGAGCAACGCCGCGUGAGGGACGAAGGCCUCUGGGCUGUAAACCUCUUUUCUCAAGGAAGAAGAUAUGACGGUACUUGAGGAAUAAGCCACGGCUAAUUCCGUGCCAGCAGCCGCGGUAAUACGGGAGUGGCAAGCGUUAUACAGAAUUAUUGGGCGUAAAGCGUCCGCAGGCGGCUUUUCAAGUCUGCUGUUAAAGCGUGGAGCUUAACUCCAUCAUGGCAGUGGAAACUGAAAGGCUUGAGUGUGGUAGGGGCAGAGGGAAUUCCCGGUGUAGCGGUGAAAUGCGUAGAUAUCGGGAAGAACACCAGUGGCGAAGGCGCUCUGCUGGGCCAUUACUGACGCUCAUGGACGAAAGCCAGGGGAGCGAAAGGGAUUAGAUACCCCUGUAGU
rnacentral:rRNA from 1 species